rnacentral:rRNA from 1 species
GUGCCAGCCGCUGCGGUAAUACGUAGGGUGCAAGCGUUAUCCGGAAUUAUUGGGCGUAAAGAGCUCGUAGGCGGUUGCGCGUCUGCUGUGAAAACCCGAGGCUCAACCUCGGGCCUGCAGUGGGUACGGCAGACUAGAGUGCGGUAGGGGAGAUUGGAAUUCCUGGUGUAGCGGUGGAAUGCGCAGAUAUCAGGAGGAACACCGAUGGCGAAGGCAGAUCUCUGGGCCGUAACUGACGCUGAGGAGCGAAAGGGUGGGGAGCAAACAGGCUUAGAUACCCUGGUAGUCCACCCCGUAAACGUUGGGAACUAGUUGU